AUUGGUUAACAAGUCCAGCUGAAUUGACAGGCCAUCAAAAACUGUACGGCAUGACUGAUUCGGAGGCGGCCCUCAACACUCGCCCAGUCGUGUCGAGAGGAUCGGUGUCUUUGCAGAAUACACGGAAUUGAGCACCUGGGCCAGACUGACACUUUCCGGAGCCUGUCCGAGACGGAACUCGAGCCGAGGAAUCAUAGGUCCAGGUGUGACAAAAGACUUAAAGCUCAUGUCUGACGAUGACUUUUUUUAGUCAGGAAGUCAAGUGUGUUGUUUUUUCAUGCAAGCAAGCCCUUUAUUUGGGUCAAAUGACAUUAGAA